UACGUAGGUGGCAAGCGUUGUCCGGAUUUACUGGGCGGAAAGGGCGUGCAGGCGGUCUGUUAAGUGCAGGGUGAAAGCUCCCGGCUCAACUGGGAGAGGUCCUUGCAUACUGGCGGACUUGAGGGGGGUAGAGGAAAGUGGAAUUCCCGGUGUAGUGGUGAUAUGCGUAGAUAUCGGGAGGAACACCUGUGGCGAAGGCGGCUUUCUGGGCCCUACCUGACGCUGAGACGCGAAAGCGUGGGGAGCGAACCGG
rnacentral:rRNA from 1 species